CAGCCGCCACGGGAAUACGAAGGGGGCUAGCGUUGCUCGGAAUCACUGGGCGUAAAGGGUGCGUAGGCGGGUCUUUAAGUCAGGGGUGAAAUCCUGGAGCUCAACUCCAGAACUGCCUUUGAUACUGAAGAUCUUGAGUUCGGGAGAGGUGAGUGGAACUGCGAGUGUAGAGGUGAAAUUCGUAGAUAUUCGCAAGAACACCAGUGGCGAAGGCGGCUCACUGGCCCGAUGCUGACGCUGAGGCACGAAAGCGUGGGGAGCAAACAGGAUUAGAUACCCCGGUAGUCCCUGUCUCUUAUAC
rnacentral:rRNA from 1 species